UGUCAGGGAUGUUGAAAGGGGAUGGGAUGUUGACGGAGCUGCCGGGGCAUUUGGUAAGGCUGGAUCGGGCGGAACCGGUGCAGAAUAAACACAGGCAGAGAAGGAGCAACUGCACGAGAAAUAUAUACGGAGCUGUGGCACAAGGAUUACCUUGCGCCCUGAAUAUCUUCAUCCUGAUCGAUCGAUCAGUUUAUGCAGGUAGGAUGAUUGCUUAAGGGUGCUAACAUCUGUGGGUUGCUGGCAAGCCGCACUGUACCGCAAAGCAAUCCUCCUCUGAUAUUCCGGGGAGAUAGAUGAUUGAUAAAUGCGCACUCGGUGCAGAGUUAUAGGUGUUUCCUGCUCACCGCGUCAGUAAAUUGUGUUUCUGGUCAAGACUUUUCUUGCUUCCUUCAGUCAAAUCCUUUUGCCGUGCCACUUGUGGAAGGAAAAUGAUGGCCCAACACUGGACAAGUUGACGCUGAAUGGGUCAAGUCAAAGUCCAUGAAAAGUUGUGGCUAUGGCUUCGGCUGCGUACAUGGAACUUAAAGACAUGGAUUGCUUUCCACAUUCUGUCUCUUUCAAAGCUAGUGUAUCUUGGCACGCUCGUAAUGCUUGUACGUCAGUUAGGCUAGUCCAACAACUACAACAUAUCGUUUGAAGGGAACUUCAAUUGCUUGGCCCAAAGAGGCAGAAUGGCCUUGGCUUCGUUCCUGUACUGGCGUCGCUAGACAACCAAGAUCAGCAUCGGUAACAUGGCAGUUGUAGCUGGUGAACGGUACUGAAUAUACAUAUGACAGCUAUAGCCGGUGAACGGUACUGAAUAUAUAUAGAAGAUAACUCAAGACAGUGGGCAGUAAAUGGCGAUGGGAUGCUUUUGCUUAAACUGAUUCUCUGAUUCUAAAGUACUCUGUAUAACAGCAUUUGUUUGCUGCAGAAUAAGUUAACUGCUUUGAAUGGAAGAAAUUCAGGGGAAAGAACUGUGGUGUUGCAAAGCUAAGAUGAGGAAAGGCUGUAUUCUUGUGUUGAGUCGAGACAACGAGGAUGCACACGGAUGUUUGACAUUCUCUCUCGUGAUUAGCUUCAUGCUACAGCCAUGGCCAUCACAAUAUGACACAUCUGGGAAGAGAGGAAUGAUGUGCUCAACAAUGGUGCAUCUCGUGAUCCGAGACAGUUGCUGGAAAUCUGAGCCUAUGUUCAAUUGGUCGUGCAAAAGUGCUCGAAGCCCGGGCCUGCUCCUAGGCGUGAGUCCUUGUGGUGAACUCUCCAAUGGACUGAACCGCCAGUAGGUAUGGUUGCAGUCAAUGUUGAUGCUGCCCUGUUUCCCUUAAUUCGUCGGAUGGGCAUUGGGGUUAUGGUCAGGAACCACAUUGGGGACUGUUUUGUUGCUUGCAAUGAUUGCUUCAGGGUGCUAGUAUCUGUGAGUUGCUGGAAAGCUGCACUCUGUAGCGCAUUUCGUGCAGAGUUAUAGGCCUUUCCCUUCAUCGCGUUGGAAAAUGGUGUUUCUGCUGCAGAGUUUUUCAGCCAAAUCCUUUUGCCGUGCCACUUUGGGAUGGAAAUGAUUGCCCAAGUAAGAUGCAGUGUCUACUCAAAACGGAGACCAGGACAAGAAAUUAAGUUGUCCAGAGACCAGUAUUAUUCUUUCCAGCACCGGGAAAGUUGACGUUGAAUGGCUAAGUCAAAGUCCAAGAAAAGUUGUGGCUAUGGGUUCAGCUGAGUGCAUGGAAAGCCAUGGACUGAUCUUCAUGUUGUUUCUCAUUCAAAGCUGGACGAACAAUGGAAAGGUGGGGCAGAAGCAACAGCAGCAGAAAUUUGACCACUGGCCUGCUGGUUUGGAAGGACUUAAUGGCCUGCCAAUCAGGAUGUACAAAAGAAAGGGAACUUCAACUACAGAGCCCGAAGAGUCACAAUGGCCCUACAAAUACUGUCACUGAUUGAUAGCCAAGACCUACCAAUGGACCUACGAAUACUGUCAUGGUACAGCAUCGCCAACAUGACAGUAUGGUCAUGACAACCAGAACCACCUUAUCGGGACUCUACAGAAUAUAAACCGGUUAUUACUGAUCAUCUGUUGGAAGUGUAAGUAAGGAAACUCAAGUUUGGACACCACAGACUUUCCAUGGUAGGAAAAGCGCGACGGAGUUUUUUUUUACGCAUCUGAAUCCACCGGGGUUUCCCCCUCCAGUAAUUUGGCGUUGGGGAGUGGGGUUACUGGGAUUCCCCCACCGUAGCUUGUGAAUUCCUAAACAAAAGAACAAAACAGGGACUUGUCUUAAGUUCAUAAAAACAAAACGAUGUAAAUACACCGUUGGUGCUUGAACUUGUCACGGAUGUUCACUUUAGUGCCUAAA